AAGAAUUAACUUCAGUAUAAGCUGUGAAUCACGGAUUGAAUAUACCGAAUUACCCACAGAUUCAGUUGGAACUGAUAUAACCGUGUUCCCAACAACAGAUAGUUCAACAAUAAAAUAUGAUAGAACAUCUACUGAGAUACCAAAAUCGUCUUCAAACAUCGAGACAAUUAAUAACCUCUCCAUCAUAACGCCUGUAUCUUCAGAACCACCCGGAGAUUCACUGUCACAAGUUGAUGUUGUUAUUAUUGUGGUGCUGAGUGUAACUGUUGUUAUUGUUAUUAUUUACAUCAUUACCAUGUGCAUUUGCAAACUAAAAACGAAAGAGCAGAGGAAUGAUAAACAUCUGGAGACAAUAAAUCCUGGCUUCUCUCAGACCGAUACUAACUUCCGGGAUAAUGACGAGGUUACAUUUGAUACUCUAGGUGAUAAUGGGUCUAUUAGGGUUGCUUCUGAAAAUGGUGUUAAUCUGAUUUAUGCAAUACCAAACAAAAGUGGUAAUAUGGAAAACAAUAACCGCUUUUUCGAUUCUGAUCACGUCUCUAUACACCCUGUUAAGCCAGAAUCACGCGAAAUGCAGCCAACAGCCGCCAUUGCAACUAAUCGGGAUGGGGAGGGAGAUCUACUGUAUUGAUUAAUGUUUAAUUUAUUAUAGUAAGCGCAACCGUAAAAACACCCGUGAUUUGUCCCAACCGAAUGACCAGACGUUGUCCCUAAUUA